rnacentral:rRNA from 1 species
GACGAACGCUGGCGGCGUGCUUAACACAUGCAAGUCGAACGGAAAGGCCCUGCUUUUGUGGGGUGCUCGAGUGGCGAACGGGUGAGUAACACGUGAGUAACCUGCCCUUGACUUUGGGAUAACUUCAGGAAACUGGGGCUAAUACCGGAUAGGAGCUCCUGCUGCAUGGUGGGGGUUGGAAAGUUUCGGCGGUUGGGGAUGGACUCGCGGCUUAUCAGCUUGUUGGUGGGGUAGUGGCUUACCAAGGCUUUGACGGGUAGCCGGCCUGAGAGGGUGACCGGCCACAUUGGGCCUGAGGUACGGCCCAGACUCCUACGGGAGGCAGCAGGGGGGAAUAUUGCACAAUGGGCGGAAGCCUGAUGCAGCAACGCCGCGUGCGGGAUGACGGCCUUCGGGUUGUAAACCGCUUUCGCCUGUGACGAAGCGUGAGUGACGGUAAUGGGUAAAGAAGCACCGGCUAACUACGUG